AUGGUGUGCGAUGAGUGGGAAGUUGCCACGCUUGUCCCUGAAGUAUCUACUAAGGAGUUCCAUGGCGCCAUCGCAUUGAUCGCCAACUUCUUAGAAGGGCGUGGAUGGCGCAUCAACUACACAUCUCGUUGUGGUAUGGGUACUACUUUGAUCCAAUUUACUACUGCGUGCUCUAGAGACACUGCGGUCAGCCAUAGUCCAUUUCAGAUUGGAGACUUUGUUCUUAGAAUUAGCAGACAAGAUAGAGGCAUUAAUUACCGCAGCAUUACUUUCACUCAUGAUGUCUGGAUCUUACUCAUGAACUAUCCUCUGGAGUGUUGGGAUGUGGGAGUCAUCAACCGCACGGCUUCACCUUAUGUUCGUUUUUUGAUCUGGAACAAAGACCCAAGGGACAAAACGAGGGUUAUUAUCAAGCUCAGGGUUAUGAAUGUGGACACCAUUCCCAUUAGCAUUGUUGUACUUAGAAAUCUUGAUGAUGUUGGAUAUGGUGACUCUUGGACAUGCCCCACUUACAUUCUGUCUAGGGUUAACUGGUCAGUAAGGUGGAGACGAAGAUCCACUGCCCCCUAA
rnacentral:rRNA from 1 species